AUGGCCUGGACUCCUCUGUUCCUCCUGCUCCUCUCUCACUGCACAGGUUCCCUCUCCCAGCCUGUGCUGACUCAGCCGCCCGCCCUCUCUGCUUCUCCUGGAGCAACAGCCAGACUCACCUGCACCCUGAGCAGUGGAUUCAGUGUUGGCAGCUAUGCCAUAUACUGGUACCAGCAGAAACCAGGGAGCCCUCUCUGGUACCUCCUGUACUACUACUCAGACUCAACUAAACACCAGGGCCCUGGGGUCCCCAGCCACUUCUCUGGGGCCCAAGAUGCCUCAGCCAGUGCAGGGCUCUUGCUCAUCUCAGGGCCACAGCCUGUGGACGAGGCCAACUACUACUGUAAGAUUGGAUACAGCAGUGCUUCUCCCUGUGACACACACAAAUGGGGAGCAGGACAGAAGCCUCAACCUGCUUAG